rnacentral:rRNA from 1 species
GACGAACGCUGGCGGUGUGCUUAACACAUGCAAGUCGAACGGUAAGGCCCUUUCGGGGGUACACGAGUGGCGAACGGGGGAGUAACACGUGAGUAACCUGCCCUCAUCUCUGGGAUAACAGUCGGAAACGGUUGCUAAUACUGGAUAUGAGCUUGCAAGGCAUCUUGUGGGUUGGAAAGAUUUUUUUGGUUGGGGUUGGACUCGCGGCCUAUCAGCUUGUUGGUGAGGUAGUGGCUCACCAAGGCUUCGACGGGUAGCCGGCCUGAGAGGGCGACCGGCCAUAUUGGGACUGAGAUACGGCCCCAACUCCUACGGGAGGCAGCAGUGGGGAAUAUUGCACAAUGGACGGAAGUCUGAUGCAGCAACGCCGCGUGCGGGAUGACGGCCUUCGGGUUGUAAACCGCUUUCAAUUGUGACGAAGCUUUUUGUGACGGUAGCAGUAGAAGAAGCACCGGCUAACUACGUG